UCGGUCAGAAUUUCCAUUCGUUCAAUCAGUCUGCCCGCGACCGCCGUUCGAAGCAGUGGUUUACUCGUUUCCGUUGUACGAAAACGCGUUUCGGUGUGAUUUGUGUUUUGUUUUGUGGUGCACGAUGGCUUACAACGGUAGUGGUGGCAAGAGACUGUGUACAGGAACCGACCUCGACGUGGAAAGGAGUAAUGGCAACAAUUAUAUGGCGGGCGAGCCCCGCCGCAAACGGGAGCCGCCGGCGCGGCCGAACCACAUUCUCCUGUACACCAUCAUCAACCCCGCCUAUCCUAUCACUGUGGACGUGAUACACACAAUAAGCACACCACACGGGCAGGUGCAGAGGAUCGUCGUGUUCAAGAAAAAUGGCGUCCAGGCCAUGGUUGAGUUUGAAAGCGUGGAGUCGGCGACGCGAGCGAAAGAGGCGCUACACGGCUGCGACAUAUACUCCGGGUGCUGCACUCUCAAAAUUGAAUAUGCCAAGCCCGAAAGAUUGAACGUGUUCAAAAACGACCAAGACAGUUGGGACUACACAUUAUCCGAAGACGUCCAGCCAGUGCAACGGAGCGCCCCGCUUCUCCAGUCUCCACAGUACACCGGCGGAAGACCACAGCCUUACAAUGCUUCGCUGAACCAGCCGAACGCCAGACCGGCGAGCGCGGACGCGUGCAGCCAACACAGCCAGAACUCUUGCGAUCAUGCACAAAAUGAUAUGGAGUUCGGAAGCGGCGGUCCUCCACCCCCUGGAAUGAAAAUGGAGCGCCAUGGUCCACCGCCGCCUCAUCAUCCGCGUGAUGGUCGCGGUUACGGUCCUGAGGGAUAUGGUGGUGAAGGUUUUGUGCCGCCGCCGCCCAUGCACCAUCCCGCUAUGCCGCCACAAAACCAGGGCGGACCCCCACAGCAGGGAGCUGUGAUGAUGGUGUAUGGCCUGGACCCUCAGACUGCCAACGCGGAUCGUCUCUUUAAUCUCUGCUGCCUCUACGGGAACGUCGUCAGAAUAAAGUUCCUGAAGACAAAAGAAGGCACGGCCAUGGUUCAGAUGGGCGACGGCGUGUCAGUUGAGCGAUGCGUGCAGAAUCUCAAUAAUGUCACAGUUGGCGACUACACAUUGACACUGGCAUUCUCCAAACAAGCAUACCUGUCCGAAGUAAUGAACCCGUACCCCCUGCCCGACAAGUCGCCCUCGUUCAAGGACUACGUCGGCAAUAAGAACAAUCGCUUCCUAACUCCUGCCUCCAUUCAUAAGAACAGGAUACAACCGCCUUCCAAGGUGCUGCACUUCUUCAACACGCCUCCAGACGUGUCGGACGACCAGCUGUUGCAGGUCUUCAAGGACUACGGGGUCAUGCCCCCGCACACUAUUUCAAAGUUCCCGCUAAAGAGCGAGAGGUCAUCGUCGGGAUUGAUGGAGUUCCAGAACAUCUCACAGUCGGUGAUGGCUAUCAUGGCGUGCAACCACGCGACCAUCCAGCAUCCAGGUGCAAAAUUCCCGUUCGUGAUGAAACUGUGUUUCUCAUCGUCACGGCAAAUCGGGCAGGGCAAGGGCCAGCAAAAGAAAGACGGCCAGGGCCAGGAGUCGAACCCGCGGCAGAACAACGGCAUGCCAGAACACGACUACUAUUUCUAUCCCAAGAUUAAGUCAGAGCUUUAUGAUCCAUAGAAUAGUUGCUGCUUAGGAAAAUUCUUCAGAACAGAACCCUAGAACUGAACUAGUUAACGGCGAUGUCGGCGAACACACACAAACACAUAUCAAGACGGACACACACACAGCCACACGAGAGCGGACGGAGUUGCCGUUUCACAUGAAAACACCCACAACACACACCAGUUACCAAAAGGGUGAUUCCACAAAAACAAUGGCAACAUUAUAAUAUACAUAUAUAUAUAAUUCCUUUAAUUUUUAUGUGAUUUAGAUCACUCCCAAUAAAGACAUUAACAGAUAGUUUAUUAAUAUAAUUUUAGACACAUACAAUUUCAUGUUAACACAUUACAAUUCCAUUUUUUAUUUUAAAUUUUGUUUUGUUUUUUCCAUAUGGACGAUGCCUGUUGAAUGCGUUGUGCAUUUGCUUGAAUUUUUGCACUAGUGUAUAGAUUUCUUAGGUAUUGGUUAAGUAAUAUUCCCAAUUUUAUUGGAGUAAUGUUAGAACUAGUUUUUUAAUAUUCUUUUCGGUGCCAUUUUCAAACACUCGUUGGUGUACAUUUUUUUAGUCACAAGUGAAUGACUUUAAAAGUAAAAAAACUUGUUUAACUUAUAAUUUUGUUUUGUUUUGAGUUUUGAGGAUGGUACUGUUUUUCCCGUUUUUUAGUGAUGAAUAGUAUAUUGAUAUUAGAUUGUGAGUUUGUUUAAGGUAAUUCGAAAAAAUAAUUAUUUUCCCUUUGUUGUUCUCAGAUGUAUCCCUUUAGCGUACAAAUCGAUGGAUAUUGUGAGAAAAAAUAUUUUUCCAGUCCAUGAGUACAUGUAUUAAUGUUAUAGUGACUAUUUCCCCCAGAACUUUGGUUGUUUGUAACAUGACAGUUGUGAAAAUGUACAAGAAAUUUAAAAAAAAUUAUGCUAUAAGGUAGAAAUUUGUGUUUUAUUUAGUUUCUAUUCGAAGUAGAACUGUGCAUGUUUCUUCAUUUAUUUUUGCAUGAGUAUCGUGAUGUCCAUACAAAAUAGAGUGGCACUAAAUUUGUUUGUAAAAACACCUGAGUUGACACGUUUAUUCUAAAAUUAAAGAACCAAAAAAUAUCUAAUUGUAAGAAAUAGUUUAGCACUCUUUAGGCUAGUAGUAAGUGUCAUUGCAAUGUCAAUUAUAUUCGAUUAGUGGAAAAAUAUGACAGUACGGAUUUUCUAUAAAUUUUUCUUAAUAAUGAAAAUAAUAAAAAAUAGUGUCGAUUCGAUUACAGUUUGGAAGCCUGCACAAGAAUGUGUAGAAUAGUUCUCGGUUCGAGACACCCGCUGUUCUGUUGUGUUCUUACUUAAGAGUUAGUAGAACGCGGUCGGCAACGCUGAAAAGUCACUAACAUAAAAGACAUUAUUUUUCCCUCUUGUGACCAAAAACAACGUUGCCGCCCGCGCCCAUAGUUCUCUAAAUAGCUGAAUAAUAUAAUGACAUUUAAAAAAUCAGUGUUAUCAGGUAAAUAGAUGCAUAUCUUUUUCUCUAGAAAUAUUUUCGAAUGAAAAACUAAAUGUUCUAGCAUAGGCCCUGAAUGUCGUGGUAGCUAUUGUGUUUAAUGUACAGACGAUGUUUGUUGUCGAUGGUUUGAUGUUCUUGCAGAUAAUGUACUGUGCGGUAUUUUAAAUACACAACAAAUGUCAGAUAUACCUACAUAGUAUUUAGACAAUGAUGUUAGAAAUUAAAAUGCAAUAAAAAUCUGUCCAAACGAAUUUUGGUUGUUGACACUUUUUUUUAAUACUCACCGAGAUAAUGUCAUUGUCUAAAAAAAUUAAAUGUACCACAUAAUUACAUAAAGCCAAAUGAUCGACUCUCCAAAAAUAACACAAGAAACAGCACUCUUGCAUACAUUUUAAGGUAUAUAAAUGUAAACAUUUUAAUUUAGUUUCUUUCAAAUAUUUUUAGACUUGGCAUUGGAUAGUACUUGUAGCUACAUGGUAACUUUAAAUACAUAUUAUGUCAACACAACAAAA